rnacentral:misc_RNA from 1 species
UGCGACAUCGCACCUCUCUCUCCCUCGCCUCUUAGCGAACACACGGCGCUCGACACCACCUUGGCGUGCCUGCGCGCGCGUGUAGAACGUGCGGCAGGAGAGGUGGGCCGAGCCGACAGAGAGCGUGCGCCGAUACCAGCGCGCGCUGCGUAGAGCCCCGCAGUCGUAGCCUCCCGCACCCACGCAUGCGCACUGCCUCACAGAUGCGAUUGUUGAAUGUGCGUUUCUCUGCCGCAUUACAUUGUCCGCUCUGCUCGUGUCUGUGCCGGGCUGUUGCUGUUGCGAUGGAGUAGGUCUCACAGUCUCCGUGUCUCUGCAGCAUGCAGCAUCCAUCGCUGACACGCACACACAGGCACAGACGCAGUUGCGCCCGUUUCUUCCCGUGCACAAUAAUACCGCUGCCGUUGUUUUCGCAGCAUGCGCAACGUAUUCGUGGCCCCGAUGCCCACCUCCCAACGACAUAGUCACACGUCGGUGCGUCAUCGCGCAAGCCACAUCGGUUUCUGACGUCCUUCCUCUCGUGUCGACGGUCACCGUGGUUGGGACGGCGCUUGAUUGGACCCUCGGAGGCAGCGCCCUCGACGAUUCAGUCACCGUCUGUGAAGGCGCCUCCUGCAUUGGAGAAUGGAAGGGGCACUGUCUGCGCGGUAGUGGGACGCUGAUAGGCACCACCGCAAGUUCCACGGGCACCUUUGCGCUCAGCUUGCUCCCGGGAGAAGGGCACCUUUGCCACUGAUGGCUUGCUGGCUUCAGGAGCUGACGCGAGCAGCACCGAAGCUUCCACGUCGGCGGACAAGGUGUGCAACACCGCUGCGCCCUUCGAAGGCGCCUCGGCGGGACGAAGUUCCCCACGCCUACGCGAAAAUGUGCUGGCACAAUGGCAACCCCCUAAAGCGGCUUCUUCGUGGGCGGCAGCUACAUGGUGUCAGUGGCGGCAAACAGCAGCGGCGCCGCCGAAGCGACCGCGAACACGCUCGAUGACGCGGGCGGCCGGACCAUUCGCGGCCUCGUCGACCAUGGGCGGAAGGUGAAAGCCACGCUCGAGUUGACGAGCACACAGCGCCGCUACGACGGGGAAGAAAAAGACGAGGUGCCGCGCGGGAAGGGCCGCAUGAUCUUCGCCAACGACGACUUUUUACGAGGGCAGCUUCGCUACGGGAAGCAGUAGAGUGUGCACUACCUCUACUACGCCACGCUGGCUGGGCGGGCUUACCUGCAGCUGUUCUUCCAGGGCCAACCGUGCGGCAAAGGGCUUGUCCCCGCCUCCAAGAAGAGCGGCGCCGGUGGCGGUGAGGUCCGCGAGGCCACCGUGACGGCAGCGAGUUUGUGCGAUGACCACACGUUGGCGGCGGGCGACGCCUCGAAGACAGAGGCGGCGCUGAGGGCAGCGAAGGGCAUGCGAGCACCGAACACGGUGGUGCCAGCGUACGCAGCGCUGUUGCUGGAUUGCCCAUCAACUGUCGUGCUCGCCUCGGCUGAACAGUCCUGCCCGUUCACUGCCGACGCUGCUCUGACGUCAGUAACGUUCUCUUUCCAAGAAGCUGGAAGCACUGCUGCCGCUGCAGCGGCGGCCGUCUCUGUCUUCGACGAAGGCAACACGCCCUGCGGACGGUGAGUUCGACUGACGGCACGCUCGUUCCGCUAGCUCCGGAGUCUGCUUCAGAGAAGUGCACGGAUCCGUCGUCAACCGCAGCGAGUGACUCCGGUGUGACGACGGAGGAGACACAGGGCACGCAUGAUGCGAUCAGUGAGGUGUCGGCGGCGGAGGCGGAUGGGUACCUUGACGAAGACGUUGCGGUGGACGGUGCUGAGCUUAGCACCGCUUUUCGCUCGGCUUCCAUGGCGCCCCUGCAGUCUGGCGCCGAAGACGACGGAUGUCUCGGCUGGCUGCAGAAGCGCUCCAUCGGCUGCAAGAAGCUCAGCUUCAUGUUGAGUUGGAGGAACCGCUACCUCAUGCUGGCGAGGUGCAACGACGGCAUGUACGUGGGGUAUUACGAGGACAAGCUGUGCCAGAAGCCCAUGGACGUCAUCCGGCCUGGCCCGGCAGCCAGGUGCGUCGUCUACCACGAGCGAUGUGAGGAGUGCACGCUGCUGCUACGCACCCGCAACGCGGACAGACAGGAUCGAUGCAGUGGCGCGCUGCGCACGUUCUCUCGAAUUGUGGACCGCGAGACCAGAUUUUCGAUGGGCCUGUCGCCAUCUGAACCAGGUAUGAGUGACGCGUGCGCCCUGCUCACACCUCUCGCUCCGCCGCUUUAGCCGAACUCCGCCUGAGCCGCGGUUCUCUCGCUCGCACGGUCUGCGCUGUGUCUGUGUUGCACUCGUGUGAUUGGGUGGAAGCCUGGAAGGGAGGGGAGGGCAAGGGGGACCGCGUGAUAACGAGGCUCUUGCCGAAAGCCGGAACUACACGAAGAUGGCCACGACUGGCUGUGAGCGGCUGGUCGGCGGUGUCUGUGUGUCUCUGUGCCAGCCAAGUGCAAGGCAAUGUCCUCUCCACCCUCCCCUGUUCAGACGGCUCUGCCCGCCCCUUCAUCAUCUCUCCUCUGCAUGGCUUGUGCGUCGUAUACGAGGAGUCUCACCCAAACGGCAAAUCCAG